ACAGUGAUUCUCUGGUUUAAGCAAAAACAAAUGUACAAUUAUAAUUUUUAGUGUAAAUUGAUUUGUAUUUUUAAUAAGAAUCUAAGAGUUACUUUUACAUAUAGAUAAAUAAACAAAAUACAUUCAACAGAUGUACUAAGAGACGAUUAAAGGAAAAAACCUAAACAUAAUAAGCAAGAGAGACAUUACGCCCAGUCUUUUGAGAAGCAUGAUAAUAAUAGUGAUGGGAUAUGUUAUGAUGAUGAUGAGCUUCUAUUGCAGAUACUAUUAUACCAUACUUUAGAUUUAAGUUUUGACAUUAUGUGGCAAUGAAACAAGUCAUGAAGUUGUAAAAAACUCUGGAAUUAAAAAUACAGGAACCACUAGUGAAUAAUGGAUUGGCCAGUUAUAGACAAUAAUAAAUAGCUGUGGAUAUAUCACAUAGAUAAGUGAUACACAUACCUACAUAUGAAUACAAAAUGUUUGUUAAUAUUGUGCGGGAAUUGAACCCACU